ACUUCUUUUCUUUGAUAGGGCAAAAGAAAUUUUAUAAUCACUUUCUUGUCCCUGCACUUUGUUAUAAAUGGUGGAGAUCAGCAGAGGUUGAGAGACCUGGCUACCAUACAAGACAAAGUACGAGUAGCAAAAUCAAAGUGUAGAAUGCUAUACAUGAAGUCUUUCUUGUUUUUUCUUGUUCUCCUCUCUUUUCUCACGUUUGUUGAGCUCAAUCAUGCAAGAAAGGAACCGAGGGAGAAUUACUGGAAGAGCAUGACGAAAGAUCAGCCUAUACCGGGAGCAAUUAGAGACCUUUUCGUUCAAGAUCCUGCCGGUGCUGACAAAAUGAACCAUUUUGUUAAGGAUUUUGAUACGAAGCACAACGCCAUCAUAUACCAUAGUCAUGAGAAGGACAAGCUGAAAGAAAAGAAAUCCAUGAAUCCCACAAAUACUUGGGAUCAUGAGACAGAGAAGGAAUAAGAACAAUAAGUAGAAAAGUUGUGAUCCAAGGACUUAUCACCUGUGUUUGUAGAAUAUCUAGUAGUGUGCUUCGUAUUGAUUGAUUGGUGUAUAAGUCUGGUUGUGUUAUUAAAUAAUAAUUAAGCUUUUUGUGUGUUUA